ACACACAGCUGGUGUACGGAGUUGGA
rnacentral:piRNA from 1 species